rnacentral:rRNA from 1 species
GAUGAACGCUGGCGGCGUGCCUAAUACAUGCAAGUCGAGCGAAUGGAUUAAGAGCUUGCUCUUAUGAAGUUAGCGGCGGACGGGUGAGUAACACGUGGGUAACCUGCCCAUAAGACUGGGAUAACUCCGGGAAACCGGGGCUAAUACCGGAUAACAUUUUGAACCGCAUGGUUCGAAAUUGAAAGGCGGCUUCGGCUGUCACUUAUGGAUGGACCCGCGUCGCAUUAGCUAGUUGGUGAGGUAACGGCUCACCAAGGCAACGAUGCGUAGCCGGCCUGAGAGGGUGAGCGGCCACACUGGGACUGAGACACGGCCCAGACUCCUACGGGAGGCAGCAGUAGGGAAUCUUGCGCAAUGGACGAAAGUCUGACGGAGCAACGCCGCGUGAGUGAUGAAGGCUUUCGGGUCGUAAAACUCUGUUGUUAGGGAAGAACAAGUGCUAGUUGAAUAAGCUGGCACCUUGACGGUACCUAACCAGAAAGCCACGGCUAACUACGUGCCAGCAGCCGCCGUAA